CGCGGUAGCCAUUCUUUUAAUUAAAUUCAGAGUCCCGAGGAUCAAAAAAAGAUGUUUACAAAUUUUCGUAUUUCCCUAAAACAAUAAAGGAGUGGAACGAGUUGCUUGAAAAUGUAGUUAUUUCGGACUCUGUAUAACUUUUUAAAUCGAACUUUAAUGGGGGGGGGGGAGGUAUACAAAUCCGCCGAUCCGCCCGAAUGUGAAGCAAAAUCCGCGAUCCGACAAUGGUCUUGUCUAAAUUUGAAUCCGCUAAAAGCUCUACUAUGAAGUCACAAUCUAGGAUCCGAACUAAAUUGCAAGCCAAAUCCACAAUCCGAGCCGAAAUAUUAGGUAAAUCCGCAUUCCGCUGUAUUGGUAAGAUCCGUAAAAUGCGUGUAAAAUAUUCGCCAGAUCCGAAAUCCGAACAUUUUUUUUCUGUGAAAUCCGACGAUCCCAAAACCUAUUCUAAUGAUUUUUUAAUGUCUUUUUAAUUAAUAAUGGAUUUUAAUGUUGAUAACAAGUAAUUUUAAUAUUUUAGUGUAAAUAGUUGGUGCCGAUGUCCGUAAUGGAUUUUACCGACUCAACAUAUGCAGAUGUAGAUAGGUAUCGCGACUGACUAUGUACAGUAACUCAUCUGAAGUUUAUUCCCAAUAUUAAAAAAAAACAAUGGCUGCCAAAGUGGUUUUGAGUUUCAUAGUGUAAUGUUUUCUUUAUUCUUUUCUUUCCUAUCUAAUACCAGAGGCUUGAGGCAUUUUUGCGCUUGCGCUUUCUGUCUCCCCUCUAUGGGGCUCAAUAUUUUAAUAUGUGGUUUUCAGGCAUACUUUCUUCUAAACGAAAAAUUAUUUUCGGUCUGGCCUUGAUUGGUGGAACAUGGUUGUCAGAAAGAUCUUUAGAUAUCAAGCAAUUGUUUACGAACUAUGGACUUAAUACAGACAAG